AUUGAACGCUGGCGGCAUGCCUUACACAUGCAAGUCGAACGGCAGCACGGGUGCUUGCACCUGGUGGCGAGUGGCGAACGGGUGAGUAAUACAUCGGAACAUGUCCUGUAGUGGGGGAUAGCCCGGCGAAAGCCGGAUUAAUACCGCAUACGAUCUACGGAUGAAAGCGGGGGACCUUCGGGCCUCGCGCUAUAGGGUUGGCCGAUGGCUGAUUAGCUAGUUGGUGGGGUAAAGGCCUACCAAGGCGACGAUCAGUAGCUGGUCUGAGAGGACGACCAGCCACACUGGGACUGAGACACGGCCCAGACUCCUACGGGAGGCAGCAGUGGGGAAUUUUGGACAAUGGGCGAAAGCCUGAUCCAGCAAUGCCGCGUGUGUGAAGAGGGCCUUCGGGUUGUAAAGCACUUUUGUCCGGAAAGAAAUCCUUGGCCCUAAUACGGUCGGGGGAUGACGGUACCGGAAGAAUAAGCACCGGCUAACUACGUG
rnacentral:rRNA from 1 species